CUCCACCUGGACUGAAACUGCUCAAAUAGUAGCUAAAAAGCUCUUCUAACGCCAGAGCGAGUGAAGCCUUUGGGGAGGAAGGCGGCGGCUCUCCCCCUGCUGGCGCGUGACCCGGUCCGUUCUGCGAGCUCGCGCUGGUCCCGCGCCCCGGCCGCCCCCGCCACCCCCAUGGCCCAGCCGCUGGUGCCCAGCUCGCAGAAGGUGCUGCUACGGGAACUGAAGGGGCUGCAGGAGGAGCCGGUGGAGGGCUUCCGGGUGACGCUGGUGGACGAGGGUGACCUGUACAACUGGGAGGUGGCCAUCUUCGGGCCCCCCAACACCUACUAUGAGGGCGGCUACUUCAAGGCUCACCUCAAGUUCCCCAUCGACUACCCGUAUUCCCCACCAACCUUCCGGUUCCUCACCAAGAUGUGGCACCCAAACAUCUAUGAGACAGGGUUCGUGUGCAUCUCCAUUCUCCAUCCCCCAGUUGACAACCCACAGGGUGGGGUGCUGCCCUCAGAGCGGUGGAACCCCACACAGAAUGUCAGAACCAUCCUCCUGAGUGUAAUCUCGCUGCUGAAUGAGCCCAACACCUCCUCACCUGCCAACAAGGACGCCUCGGUGAUGUACAGAAAAUGGAAGGAGAGCAAGGGGAAGGACCACGAGUACACGGACAUCAUCCGGAAGCAGGUCCUGAGGACCAAGGUGGACGCAGAGCGCGAUGGCGUGAAGGUGCCCACUACGCUGGCCGAGUACUGCGCGAAGACCAAGGCGCCGGCGCUGGACGAGGGCUCGGACCUCUUCGACUACUAUGUGGACGACGAAGUGGAGGAGGCCGACAGCUGCUUUGGGGAUGAAGAGGAUGACUCUGGCCCGAAGAGUCCUGACCGACGUCCCUGAAAUAAACUUACAAAUUUUACCUCAGCAGGACCCGUGUGGGCCUCAGGCGACAGACUACCUCACCGAGGUUCCAUGUGGGCUCCCAUCCCAUGAUCCUUAGGUCCUCUUACCCCGUAUUCCCCAUGGGUUUUCCUCGGCUUUGGAGAAGAGCUGUGGUGCAGGGCAGACACCCCCACUCAGCUUUCAGAUGAUGACAAGCCUGGGAGGCUGGGGACCGACUGCCUGGUGGGGAGCCAGAGACUCCAGCCCAGCCCAAGGGAGGGCCAGCACCACAGUCUCCUCUCUGCUUUUAGUGUGUGUGAAAAAAAAAAAAAUAGCU